rnacentral:lncRNA from 1 species
GUUCUGGGCGAGUGUGCCCGAGACCAGGCGCGUACACGUGUGUGUGUGUGUGGUUGUGUGUGUGUGUAUGUGUGUGUGUGUGUGUGUGUGUGUGUGCGCGUGUGCGUGUAUGUGUAAGAGAGAGGAGCGGAGCCUACCAUGCGCUUCCCUGGUGCGGAUCGCGGGAGAGCCCAAUCACAGGGCGAGCUGGACCUGGCUGUGAUCAUUUAUAAUCCUUGACUCCUCCGCUCCUCCACUUGUCAAGAUGACAGGAGUUAAGGAAGGCAAUAAGAAUAGAGGAGGCAUGAACACACAAGAACUUGGGAAGAGAGGAAUGUGAGCUGUGACAAACCAAGCAGAAGUGUUUCCAUCUCAAUGGCACCAUGAGCUGGAGAAGUCAUAGGAAACCAAAGGACUCAAGAGGAGACACUGCUAUCAAGAACUCCUGUCCACCGUGCAUUGGUGAAAGGAGAUGAAGCCAUUUUGCCAACCUGAACCUUUUUCCAUGGGGCACUAUACAGCUUAACCACUGAACUCUGUUGAGCCGUUGAGGGCUCCUAAACAAUUUCUUAGCACGGAGUUCCUCUUUUCAGUAAACCCUGCUUCUCACUGAGUACAGAGUCGAAGCAAUCCUACAGCACUAACAUUUCAAUUGUUGCAUAUGGAGCCCAGUACGUAAAGGACCCCCAAAGAGUGGUUUAU